UACAGAGGUCCCAAGCGUUGUUCGGAUUCACUGGGCGUAAAGGGUGCGUAGGCGGUCGGGUAAGUUUGAUGUGAAAUCUCACAGCUUAACUGUGAAACUGCAUUGGAUACUAUCCGGCUCGAGGAAUGGAGGGGAGACUGGAAUACUUGGUGUAGCAGUGAAAUGCGUAGAUAUCAAGUGGAACACCAGUGGCGAAGGCGAGUCUCUGGACAUUUCCUGACGCUGAGGCACGAAAGCCAGGGGAGCAAACGGG
rnacentral:rRNA from 1 species